GAUGAACGCUGGCGGCGUGCCUAAUACAUGCAAGUCGAGCGAACGGACGAGAAGCUUGCUUCUCUGAUGUUAGCGGCGGACGGGUGAGUAACACGUGGAUAACCUACCUAUAAGACUGGGAUAACUUCGGGAAACCGGAGCUAAUACCGGAUAAUAUUUUGAACCGCAUGGUUCAAAAGUGAAAGACGGUCUUGCUGUCACUUAUAGAUGGAUCCGCGCUGCAUUAGCUAGUUGGUAAGGUAACGGCUUACCAAGGCAACGAUGCAUAGCCGACCUGAGAGGGUGAUCGGCCACACUGGAAGUGAGACACGGUCCAGACUCCUACGGGAGGCAGCAGUAGGGAAUCUGACGCAAUGGGCGAAAGCCUGACGGAGCAACGCCGCGUGAGUGAUGAAGGUCUUCGGAUCGUAAAACUCUGUUAUUAGGGAAGAACAUAUGUGUAAGUAACUGUGCACAUCUUGACGGUACCUAAUCAGAAAGCCACGGCUAACUACGUG
rnacentral:rRNA from 1 species